UUUUUUUUGUUAAAUUUAAACUCUUGUAUUUGUUAUCUCUUGAUUACAUGGUGGAGUUCUUUCAGCCCAGAAAAGUGUUGAAUUUAGGACAGUUUACCAAAAUGGUUGGAUAUGUUGCAUGUAAUAGCUGUUCUUUCUAUGAAUGUCAAUAGACGAUACAUUCGUGAUGAUAAAUGUCUUCUGCUGUUUUUUAUUUGAGUUGCCUAUUUGUGGUUAAAUAACAUUAUCUCAUGGUUUUCUUUUAUAAGUCCAUUUGGACAUUUUGUGUGUAAUGA
rnacentral:misc_RNA from 1 species